AAGAGAGUGAGAAGUGAAGGAUUGGUGAUUAAGUGGUGGUGUUUAGGUCUAAUGGUGGUGGCUAAUGAUGGAGGAAAAGAAUCCAAAAUCAAAACAAUGGUGGUUCAAGGUGGUGCAAAAGGGGAAGAUGAGAGAAAAGAGAGGAGAGGAGAGGAGAAGGAUGAAACAAAUGAGAGAAUAGACUCUCCCUAGGGUAGAGAAUGUCCAUAGCAAAUCAACGAGGGGAAACAAGAAGGGAGUGAAAGGUGGGGAAGAAAAGGAAGGGGAACAUGUGGAGUAAAAAGAAGGCUAAGGGAUGAA
rnacentral:lncRNA from 1 species